GUGAGAUAAAAAUGGAUAACAGAAAGCGCAAAUGCGGCGCUGAAAAUACCAGAAUAAAUAAGAAGAAAGCUCUGGAAACUGACGAGGACAAAACAUUUCUAAGCUGAGCACAUUCUUCCUCAAAAAACAAAACAAACGGAGUGGACGAGGCCGCUCUUCAGCAGCAGCCGCCUCUAGUCCAGUUUGCUGCUAACAGUGAAGAGCAAGGCCCAGUAACGUUACCAAGCUCCAGUCAUGAGCCCAACACACCAGAAUGGGCAGUGGCUCUCUGCAUCUCACUGACGACACAUUACCUGAGCAGUCGGAAGCUGUGUAAUUAUUGCAUGGACGGAGCAGAAAUGUAAGUAUCUAAAGUAUAUGCACAGUUCCAUUGUGUGAUAAAUGUUUUCUAACAAUGUUAAGUCAAAUGUACAAAGGACACCUUGAAAUAAGAGUGCAAGGUUAAUCUAAUAAUAAGAUGCAUGGAAGUAGCAUUUGUUGCUUUCGCAAACAGACAUCGGGCAUGCUUUCUCUCAGAAUCAUAAUUUGCCAAUGGAGAAGAAAAGUUAAAUACUAAUAGCAUUUUUUUUUUAUGAAAAUGAC